rnacentral:rRNA from 1 species
GAGUUUCUUGGCUCAGAUUGAACGCUGGCGGCAUGCCUUACACAUGCAAGUCGAACGGCAGCAUGAUCUAGCUUGCUAGAUUGAUGGCGAGUGGCGAACGGGUGAGUAAUACAUCGGAACGUGCCCUGUAGUGGGGGAUAACUAGUCGAAGAUUAGCUAAUACCGCAUACGACCUGAGGGUGGAAAGUGGGGGACCGGCAAGGCCUCAUGCUAUAGGAGCGGCCGAUGUCUGAUUAGCUAGUUGGUGGGGUAAAGGCCCACCAAGGCGACGACCAGUAGCUGGUCUGAGAGGACGAUCAGCCACACUGGGACUGAGACACGGCCUAGACUCCUACGGGAGGCAGCAGUGGGGAAUUUUGGACAAUGGGCGAAAGCCUGAUCCAGCAAUGCCGCGUGUGAGAA